AGUCAGCCUCUUCCUGUCUUUAACAGCAGCUGCUGUAUCCGGGGAGGAAAAACCUUUCUCCUUACAAGUGAGGGGAAAAAAAACAAAAAACAACAGUGUGAUGAUCUGAGGUACAGAUGACGGAUGACUACAGAUGAGAUGUGGUGAUACUUUAUGGUGAUUGAAAGGGGAGAGGAUGACAGCGAUGCCCAACCUCUGUGAUCCAACCCCUGCCCACAGGUGCUGCAGCAUUGAAAGGCCUGGACUGAUGGAUUAUUGUAGCAGCUGCCAGAAAGGGGGUGACGUGUUUGUUUAGAAGGGC